AAACUAACCCGACGUGAAGGUUUAACCGUGAUCAUGUAGGCGGUUCCUUCGGGGCGAGAUUCAAUCAUUGCACCACUUGAUUGAAUUGACCCUCGUGAGUAAACAAUAUAUAUUGUUUACUCGGACGUAUAAUUUUUGAGUGAUGGGAAUUUGCAUUCGCGCAGUCCCGAU